UGCGAGGGCAGGGCUUAGAGAGCCACUACUCGAAGCCAAGCCUUACGUCAGGCAGCAGAGAUACCAAGAUGAGGUUGAAGAAAACACACGGCUUUCUCCACUCAUGGACUCCAAUGAGGAUGGCAACAACAUGGGCUGAGACUUGACCUUGUGACUCCAGCCUAGGAUUAUAUAAGGAUGUGACUGACCUUAGAGGAUUUCACGGGAACUUAGCUGUACACGUGGAACCCAUUUAUUUGCUGACACUUCUCAUUUCCUUUCAGAACAAACCUACAUUCCCAGACCUAUAAUUUUCUUGAGAAAAUGGGUUUAUUAUAAGUCACUCAAUAAAACACCCUACCAUGGCUUCCCAGUACAAACCCUAGUUUCAAUUAGUCUUAUUUUCUUCCUGAACUGAUGAUUCCCAAAUCUAUCUAUCUGUUCAUUAGGAUCACUGGAGAACUAUUAAAAUGUCCAAAGUCCAGUCCACACCCCAGACCAAUUAAAUCAGUCACUGAGGCUAAGAUCAAUAUUUUUUUAAGCUCCCCAGUCAGAAUUGGAAUUUCAACUGCUGGUCAGUUUCUCCUAUGAACAUGGGUUGAUAUGGGCACGAUUGUGGGGCUAGCGUUGCCAUCUCUCCCUAUUAAACUUCUCCUACUAGAGCUACAAUACUUUUCGGCCCUUGGAUGGCUGUGCUUUUCGAAUUCUUGUACUUCCACUGUUCUACCUCUUUUAUUCAAGGCAGCCUUUCCUGCAUGCAUUUAUUCUUUCAUUCACUUACAAGAAUAUACUGAAUAUGGAUUCUAGGAACUAGGAAAUGAGUUGUUGACCUUGGGCUAGGGUGAGAACAUUUGAGUGGUUCUUCGUGGUGACCUGCCUCCCCUGCCCCCAUAAAAGCCUCUCUCCUUCCUGCCUUCCAGUCCACUGAUGCAUGGGCCCAGGCAGCACCAACCAUUUCCUUGCUUGUAGUCAGUUCCCCAUCUACCAAGUAAUGCCUGCCUUCCCCUCCUGUUGGAGGGUGUAUUAGUCUGUUUUCAUGCUGCUGAUGAAGACAUACCCCAGACUGGGUAAUUUAUAAGAAAAAGAGGUUUAAUGAACUCACAGUUCCACAUGACUAGGGAGGCCUCACAAUCAUGGCAGAAGGUGAGGAGGAGCAAAGUCAUGCCUUACAUGGUGGCAGGCAAGAGAGAAAGACAAGCGAAAGGGGAAAUCCCUUAUAAAACCAUCAGAUCUUGUCAGACUUAUUCACUACUAUGAGAGCAGUAUGGGGGAAACUGCCCUCAUGAUUCAAUUAUCUCCCACAAGGUCCCUCCCACAGCAUAUGGGAAUUAUGGGAGCUACAAUUCAAGAUGAGAUUUGGGUGGGACACAGCCAAACCAUAUCAGAGGGUCCAAAUUCAACUCUUCUAGAGUUAACUACCCAAAUUCCCAAAACCUCUUGACUGUUUGUUUCACAGAGGUUUUUUUUUUUUUGAGGUCAUAGUAAAAAAUAAUUUUAGAAACAUGCCCUGACAAAUGUGGGUUCCUGAAAUUGAGGCGGUGAAUCCUUCACCCCUCCCUAGUAGCCCUGAAUGAGUCCUCUCUUCUGAACUAGACUCCAAGCCUCCCUAACGGCAGCAGUGAUUUCCAGUCCUCAAAUGACACAGUCAAAACUCUCACUAGAAUGCUUGUUGAGUGACACUUAGCAGAUCAUGUGUUGACUGGAGAAAAGGAGGGAGGAAGAAAGGAGAAGAGAACAGGAGGGAGAGGAAAAGGGAGGAGAUACAGAGUAAGCCAGAGAGGAGAGAGACAGAGACACAGAAUGGAACCGAUUUUGAGAUCCUACCUGUCCUGCCCAUCGCCUUGUGGAGGACAGAGGAAUGGGGCAUCUAAGCUCACUCACACUGCCAAUUUGAACUGUUCUGCCCUAGCCUCCCUCCCUACCCACUUGAGAGCAUUGGAAAGCUGCCCCAUGAAGGCUUUACAAAGCAUCACCAUAGUAACUGUUUUCUCCACUAAAAGACGCCUAUGCAAUGAAGCUCUGCACUCUUGUCUGCCCCUCUCAGUAACUGGGAGAGGCUUCCACUCUCUCCAGCAAAGGCCUUACCGGCCACUGAGUGACUCUAUCUCAUAUUCUCAUGACUGUCAUUACCAGCGUUAGUAUUUUCUUUAUUCUUUUGCACUUCCCUGGCUCUGCUGGUCUAAAAUGGGCUUUCCAUGACUUUAAUUGGCUCUCAUCAGCACUGAGGUCAGUGAGGCAGCCACAGAGUUCAUUUGACUAAGGCACAAGCAGAGGCGGAAGUCUGAACAACUUGCUCAAGGUCUCCAGCUCCAGAGUCCUGCAGAUGAGGGCUCACAAUCCCUAAGUUUACUAUCCUUUCCUCAGCCCCAGUUUGUCCUUCCGCAAGGGGGAAAUCGCCUCUACAGUUAUCACACUAGGAGAAAUUAUACUUCCCUGAAUUGUAAGCUUGGGCAUCUGUGUGUCAAAGCAGAGAAGAAGUCAGGGAGGUAGCUUGUGUCUUUGAGGGGUGUGAGGGGCUGGGCUUGGUGAGCAGAUGGACAGAGCUGAGCUGCCGGGUUCCACGUCAACAAUGGCAAGUCCAUGGGGAAUUUCUGUAGAAUUAGAUAUAUUGCU
rnacentral:lncRNA from 1 species